AAAAUUCAAUCCUACGAGAUGAAACUCUUUCGACAGUCUCUUCCAAAUGUCAUUCCUGGAUGUCUAUUUGUAAGCUUGGAGUACAGCAGUAGCUCCAAAUCGUUGAACGUCUUUGUAGAGCAAGCAAGCAAACUGGAAGCAACUUUGGCCGCUGGGAAGUGCCGUCUCUACGUCAAACUGUUGUUUUUGCAAGGAAACAAGAGAAUGAAGGAAUUGGAGUCGCCUCCUGUACUGAUGCAAAACUUGGAAGCCAAACUGAAUUAUACGGACUCGAUUAAAAUUGAUGAAAAUCACAUCAAAGAUAGCUCUUUAGUAAUCGCUCUAAAGUACAAAGGAAUGUUCCACGACAAAAAUGUUGGGAGAGUUAUUUUUGGCCCUUACUUUUACUCAGAAUUCGGCCACAAGUUGACGCCUUGGGGCAGGCUUUUUCUUAAAAAUGAACAAAUUAAAUAUUCUUUCCGUAUGUAUCUAUAAUAAAGUUAUUUAUCAAAUAUAUAUUUUAAAUUUUUUAAGAAUGUUUGUUGUUUCUUCCUCCAGGAAAAAAAAGAAAUUCCUUUAAGAUUUAGUGAGCUUUAAGGUGAAAAGAGCAACUAGAUUGCACUUCGCAAAAAGGAACUAGAACAUUCCAAUGUCGCUAAGAUCCUGCAAUUUUUUUUACAUUGCAAAUAUAAACUGAUUAUCUAAACAAGUUUUAUCCAUACGCCCAAUAAACUAUAUAUUCAAAAUGGAAGCUACCGUUAUAAAUUUUUCUCAUGAUUUCAGUAAUUUUAUUGCAACCAUGUAAGUUGCACGAUCCUAGCAACAAUGGGUCGUUCUUGAUUCCUUUUCGCAAAUUCAAUCCAUAUCACUCUUUUCUACUGUUUGCCUCACCCCACUCCCUACAUUUCGAAUUAUAGAGCUUUUGAUACCACCACUUCGAAUUACAGAGCUAAUGUACACAUCUCUUUAAUUCAAAUUUUUUUGCCACCGCUCUUUGUAAUUCAAAAUCUUGCCAAUGCGAAAACCCUUCAAUUCAAAAAAAGCCUCGGCCCCUUGAAUUUCGAAUUAGCAAGCGUGCACUGUAUUAAGAAAUGGCCCGAAGUGUAUGUAAAAAGGUGGUGAAUUGGUGCUGGGUCCACACCAUUUCGCAGGGGGAAAAAAGCCGAAAAGUUCAAAAAUUUCAAUUAGAGUCAGUCUUUCUCAGUCUUGUACUGGUAAGUACUCAUUAGAGCUCAACAUUUUUGACUCUAAUUUAAAUUUUUGGCUUUGUUUUCCCCGCGAAAUGGUGUGGACCCUGCACCAUUUCACCACCUUGUUACUAAUUAAUAAAUCCUCAGAUUGGAAGAAUGAUGCUUCAAUCUCCUAAGAUAUAUUUGUCAAUAUUUUCUGUAGUUGAAAGAACCAUGCCACUUUCCGUACCAUCUCUGGGUGGCGAGAUGAACAUAGGGCGAGAUAUCAUUUAACUUCCGUCAAUAACGACUGAGAUUUUUAGAUGGAUCGAUUACUUAUAUUUUAAGAUAGGGAAGCGUUUUUCCCAUAAGGUUUUUGUCCGUACGCGGUCCGUGUCUGUAUAGGGAAUGUCCGCGCGGCAUCACUGAUUGGCAGAUGCGCCCCCUCAGUGCGCCGAAGUCGCGCCCCUCCUCCGGCCGCUAGAAUGAUAAUGAGGGAAAUGAAGAAAAGAAAGAAAAGAAAAAAAAGAAGAAAAAGAAAAAAAGAAAAGAAUAAUAAUCAAAAAUCAAGGAGAGAGGAAAAUAAGUAAAGAAAAGAAUGCCUCUAAAUUAUAAGUAAACGGGAGAAGCUUUAGUAGAAGUUAUAGAGGAAAGCGCAUUCUGUAUCUGUCCCCUUGUCUCAUUUUUCUUUUCUUUAUCUAUGUAGUGUUCCUACUUUGCAGUGGCGUAACGGGCGCCCCCGCAGAUCCUGCUAUACAGGGGGGGCCCAGGCGCGUAGGGGGCCCUCGGCGGCCGGGAUUUUUUUUCUCUUUGAUGCUCAGCUUUGGUUUCAAACUUUGGGCCUUCACUUAUCGAGAUGGGGCUUCUGCUUUCUAUUGUUAGCUUGGGGUUUUUCAUACUUCUUUUGGACUGUUCCUAAGUUUUGUUUGCUGGAGGGCCCCUGCCUUCCAACGACUCAGUGAUAACUAAAUAAUUUUCUCUUUAUAUGCCACUUUUCGUUUUUCGAUCUUUGGUAGGCCCAAGAAUCUAAAAGGCCCCCAAGGGGGCUCCCGCCCUCCUUUACCUCCCCGCUGCGAGCUCUGGUAGCUAUUUUUACGUUUUUUUGUUGUUUUUUUUUUUCAAUUAUUUGCGCAAACAUGCAAGUGAAUCAAAUUCAACCUAUAUAACGUAAAAAUAGGUUAGAUCCUGCACAUACCAUACCUAAAGGUAAAAAUAUAUAAGCUGCUGCCAUUUUGAUAUUUUUGGUGGUUAAGGCUGAUUUUCUCAAUAACUUUCGUGCUGCGGGCCUCGACCAUAAGAGAAAAAUCGGAAAGGGGUGA
rnacentral:lncRNA from 1 species